rnacentral:rRNA from 1 species
CUGCAGCUCAAGUGGUGACCGCUAUUAUUGGGCCUAAAACGUUCGUAGCCGGUUUGGUAAAUGCCUGGGUAAAUCGUGUAGCUUAACUAUACGAAUUCCGGAUAGACUGCCAAACUUGAGACCGGGGGAGGCUAGAGGUACUCCUGGGGUAGAGGUGAAAUUCUGUAAUCCUAGGGGGACCACCAGUGGCGAAGGCGUCUAGCUAGAACGGGUCUGACGGUGAGGGACGAAGCCCUGGGGCACAAACCGGAUUAGAGACCCGAGUAGUCC